rnacentral:lncRNA from 1 species
CAUACACGCCCAGAUGAUGUCACAAUCAGCUGUAUCUAAACAGAGCAGAGCUCAGGUGACAUCACAGAACAGGCAGAGGCAGUUCAGGGGUAUUCUGGUUGCCUUACCCAGCUCUGAAGUCUGUCAGCCUCUUCAGAUGUCACUUGCCAUGUGGUAAGGAAGUGUAGUCAGCAGCUGGUGCAGUGGGAAGAAGAGAAAGGAAGUUCCCCAAGACAAAAACAUCUCGGCAGACCGUGAUCAUGGGCUACAUUCUCCGUACCAGCUUCAUAGCUCCAGUGAGAAAAUAAAUUCCUGCAUCCAGGAGAUGUGGAGUAAGAGAUACAGCUGCCCUUGACCAUAUUUCUUACUUCCGAGAAGAUCGUAGCAGUAAUUCAGAAUCUCAUCCAGGAUACCUCAUCACAGGCUGGAGUGCAGUGUCAUGAGCUUGGCUCACUACAGCCUCCAUCUUCUGUGCUUAAGGAUCCUUCCCUCUCAACCUCCAAGGUAGCUGAGACUACAGGCAACAUUCGAAACCCAGGUGCCACUCCUUCAGGAAGGUACCAUCAAGCUCCAAGGACUCAUCCUCUUUCUCCUUCCCCACUACCUAGUCAUUAGAGCGUCAGCAUCCACUUCCUGAAAGGAAGAUGCCUGUUUUUCACAUAUCCCAGAAAGCCUCAUUUUAGGACAGCAUUUAGCAGAGUGUAUUCAGGAUCCCACUAACCUUUUCGGAAGACAUGACUUCCAGAUGAUAUAAGGCAAGAAUAAGAAAUUUCAGUGACAGGGAACAGAAAUCAUAUUUCUGCAUUCAGGAUCAUGUUUUCUUGGCUCCAUCAGGAACUGUGCAGGACUGUGCACUCUGUUGAUACUCACAUGGUGGAAUUAUAUUGCCCUUGGCCAACCCUAAAGCCAUCAAGAUAGCAGCAACUACUCUAUCAUUACUGUACCACCACCUGUAUGGAUCUCGUUGCCCAUAUGAAACUGAGUAAGGAACAAUGUGCAUCACACUCACAGAGAAAGAUGGACAAGUUUGGAAUAAUUCACUGUCGAAGUCUUCUUGAGCUGAGCAGUCAUGUGAGCUUGGAAGAUGAUCCCUCUCCAGCUGAUCCUUCAGCUCAGGCCAUCAUCUACAUCUGGAUUCCUGACCCGGAGAAACUAUGAGUAAUGUGUGCUGCUUUUGAGCCACUAAGCUACAUGAAUUAAUGAAGGAUCAUUAUUAAGUUUUUAAUGGGUCAAGAGAAAGUUACCACUGAGGUCUUCUCUACCUGGGCAACAAUUGACUCCUAACAACCACUAUAAGCUUGGAAGAUGAUCCCUCCCCAGCUGAUCCUUCAGGCUCAGACUUUGACAGUCCUCUGAUAUACUUUAUAUGUAAAUAGAUGGCUGAGUGUUCUGGCUGAUGAACAUGGGUUACUUAACCAGAGUUAAGCGAGGACUUUCUCACCUGAAACCACCAAGAGACACAAAAGCCAGAAAAGGACAGAAAUUAAUUCAAGGGUCAACAAAUAGAGUCGGCUUUCUUUAAGACCUGAAGUGUAGAAGUCUAGGUUGAACCCUAGGUUGAUUACGUUGAAGACUACAUUCUCCUGUGAAGCAAGCAUUCCUAAAGGGUCUCUACUUUUUGUAGCCUGGGGAUUUUCUACUCCCCCAACAGCCAGAUGAGGCAGAAACCCCUACAGACAUCCCUAUGUGCCUCCUGUGCAAGUGCAGUUGCCCCUUGAAGGCAGUUCUCCUGCUGCAGACCACGCCCACCAAGGGCAGAGUCACAGCCACUGCAGCUGAGCUCAGAGCCUUCUGUGGGGUCUGCAGGGGCAAGGCCAGCUGUCCCCUGGGAUAGUUUGAAGAAUGCAGUUUGUUUGUAUAAUAAAGAUGUUUCUCUACGUCAUUCAUCUUGCUAAUCAAGGACGUUUAACAGCUUCAGACUUUCCUGGUAAUAUUUGUUCUUGCCUUUUUUUGGCAAAUAUAGUUAACACUUCUAUGCAUUUUUUACCUCACAUAAACAUCAUCUAAAACCAUUCAUAUUUCUGUAUUGCGUAUUAAUGCUUUUCAUUCCUGUAUAUAAAAAUGCAUUCAUAAUCGCUUUUCAAAAUACAUUUUCAGUUACCUUUUCAAGCAUCAUUCUUUACUAAUUGAAUGGAAAUAUCACUUUUAUUGAGAAAGACAGAUGUUACACAAUUUUCAUUUUAGUAUUUUCUAGAAAUUUGCUGUGAAAUACCUCAGGUUGAAAAGGAGAGGGACACAGGCUUUUGUGAGGACCAUAAGACAAAAUUUACUGAGAGUCACAUGCUUAAAAUAAUCUUUCAUUGUUUGCACUAUAUGGCUUAGUUUGUUCUAAUUGUGAAAGGUCACAGGCAUUAAUUUGUGUGGAGGCAACACCAAAAAUCCCAUUGUGAAUGCAGAGAAUCACUUUGUUACUGUGCAAGUAAGAAUGUCCUCAUAUUGUUUGUUUUUAUUCUUACCAAAAAGCUGUAGACAUUGUCUGGAAUCUUUGAUUCCUUCCAACUUGUUUUUG